UGAUGUGAACAUCACCUGCAGGUUUGGCUGUAAUUGGGCAUUGGGUUAAAGCAGAAGCAUAAAGUGUAACAUCCUGUCACCACAUGCUUCCUUUCUUCCAGAUAAGAAAGGCAACCAUACUUCUGCAAAAUACCAUUAUCAAGAAUCUCUGUAGAGCCUUCCUGAUGGAUAUUAUGUGCAGCAAUGGCUAGCCUACAGAAUGAAAUUUGGGACUUCUCAGAAAUAUUGUUGGGAGCAAAAAAACGCUUUUCAUUUGAGAAGAACAUGUGUAUCACUGGUAAAAUUAAUUGGUAUCUUUUGGCAAGACAUCAGCGAAGGACAGUCACUGCAGGAGGAUGAUUACUUGAUGAAAAGUCAUAUGGACCAUGGCAUUCUCAGAGGACCUCUGCUGCCUUUUUUUUUUUCUGCACUGUUUUGCCUUCUGGGAGAGGCAGUUACAAUAUUAUAAGCAGGAGAGCCUUAAGAGGACUUCUUUAUCAAGUCUAAGAAGGUGGAGAGCACUGAAAGUGUCAACAGCUUCCACACAUAGGACCAGCCCUGUAGUGUGCCUGAUCUCUUCCUCAUUUGAAUACGGAAAUGAAAUGUUGUUUUUCUUGGUGAUUUUUCCAGGUGGUUUUACUAUCUUUUGAAAUAGCCGCUAUAAUGCAGAGCUGCAGUGCAGAAGAGGGUGUGACACCAGCCUCUGGCUUUCGUAGAGUGCUCAUUUCUAGGUAAUAUAUAUUUCUGAGAAAAAAACUAGCAAAUUUACAUAUAAGGUCUGUAAUUAGACCUUCAUCUUCACUAGAGUAAUUUCCAGUGCCCUGUAAGACCAGACUGGUUUUAGAAAGACCCAGCAGCCCCAUCCCUACUGGUGCUGCAUCCAUGGGCCAGCUCCUGUUGGGCUGUGCCUGUGCUGCUCCGGGUGCCUUGCAGCAGUGAUGGGAUGGGACCAGGUUGAACCAUGUCUGACAGCUGUCCCCAGGGAGCUGGCAGCACCGCCACCUCUGUGCCACGCUGGCUUGCAGCGGCAGUAAUGGCUCCGGAGAACUCAUGUCUUAGAUACAGGCUCAUGAGAAGGUAAGACAUGCCUUCUCACCCAGUGAUCUCUGCGUUUGC
rnacentral:lncRNA from 1 species